AUCCUAAUUAUUUUACUGCCUUUCUCCAAGCCUGGAAUAUUUCUCUAGCCACAAUCUUUCUCUCUCCUCAAACUUCCUCCCUAUGUAAAACCCUAAACCCCGAAGAAGACUUCAAUGGCAUACAUUCACGGAGGGUUCGGUGGCGGCUCCUGUCUCGGCUCUCGCACCAUGACUCCAGCACACAAUUUCUGCGUCUGAAUCUGCAAAUACGAAAGGAUUUGGGCAGAUGGUCAUCUUCGGUGACCUAGCCGGGGAAAUAUAGCCCAUAAUCUUGCUGUACGAUUUUCAAGUGGAGGUUGACGAAGCGCUUCUCUGCAAGAUUCUUGAACUACUUACUUUGAUUCAUGCUUUUGAUUUAAUUCAUCAAUUGCUUAAUUCUCUAUCUUACUUUGUAUCAUGUUCUUGAUUUGAUUGCCGAAUUUAUCUCCCGGGGCGGGACGAUCUGUCCUCCAUCUCAGAAGAACUGGUGAUCUCGGGGAUUUUCUUUUGUGCGUUACAAGUAUAGGAUGAAGCUGCUAAGGUUGUGGAAAAGCUCUAUGGCAAGGUUGUUGAUGGUCCAGUUUGCAAAUAUGGUCUAAAUACUGAGAAAAUAAGCUGAAAAAUGGCGCAGAUAUUGAUGCACGAUACUUUACAUAUAACGAUAUACAAAGCUCAUGAUCUUCUCCAUGGUAACAAACCUGGUGUUUUCCGCGAGAUGAUGGAUCUGGAUCGCUAAGAGAAGCGUGUCGGAUAAAUGAACCGCUCUGGAUUGUCUUCGAAAUUUCAGGUAUAUUCUCAGUGCAACAUUUAUGAUGCUGAUAAGAAAAAAGCAUUGUUUUUGUACUACACAUAGAAGGUGAAUGCUUUAUUUAUACCCAAUGGACAUCCACAAGAGCCUUUACUACACCGAUGAUGUGGAAGCUUGAUAAAGAUGGGAAGUUUAGAGUAGGUUUUCCAUAUGGACCUAUCAAUGUAGAAUCAAUUUUCUGUUCUUUUAUGUAUCUCCUCAUCAAAUGGCUGUGAAAAAAGCUGUAGAAAUUUUUUCAAAGAGUUUGAUUGAUUAAGUUCAUAAAUGGGGUUAAUGAAACAAAAUGGAGUAACUCUUAGGUAUAUGAUGGAAUUUUGGAAUUUAUAUUUUGGUACUAAAUUUAGAUUCUUUGUCAUGUAAAGCAGUAAAGACAUGAUUACUUUGUUUCACUA